rnacentral:rRNA from 1 species
GGCCACCGGCUUGCGGUUGCCUCUCGGUUAUACCCUUGUCCGGUGGUCCUCCUCGCGGGGACGCCGUGGGCCUUUGCUGGUUUGCGGAUGUGAACCGUGACGUUUACUUUGAAAAAAUUAGAGUGUUUAAAGCAGGCUUGCGCUAUGAAUACAUUAGCAUGGAAUAAUAAUUUAGGACUUCUGUUCUAUUUUGUUGGUUUCUAGGAUGGAAGUA